rnacentral:rRNA from 1 species
UACGUAGGGUGCUAGCGUUAUCCGGAUUUACUGGGCGUAAAGGGUGCGUAGGUGGCCUUUCAAGUCGGUGGUUAAAGGCAAAGGCUCAACCGUAUUAAGCCGCCGAAACUGGAAGACUUGAGUGUAGUAGAGGAAAGUGGAAUUCGCAGUGUAGCGGUGAAAUGCGUAGAUAUUGAGAAGAACACCAGUAGCGAAGGCGGCUUUCUGGACUGUAACUGACACUGAGACUCGAAAGCGUGGGUAGCAAACAGG